CCUGAAAAGCAACAGCAAGAUUCCACGGCAUCUACAAAUCAACAGCUGGAAUCCAUACCAUCUACAGUCUCUCCAACCGGACUGAAACACCGCGAGUUUUCCCAAAGGGAUAUGCAGGUCUCUACUUUUUCUCUGAGCAGAGAGAUGGACGAGCUGGAACCUAGGUCUUACACCCACGCUAAGAGCCCACACAGCGAGUUCUCUAUAGAGAACAUGCAACUGGAAGAGAUCGCCGCAUCGGGCCGCGACACUCCGACGCGUCGUAGGAGGCGCGAUUCUGGACAGCACGAUAUGCAGAGUUCCACCUUCUCUGUCAGCCAACCCUGGUAAACCGGAUUGAACCAGUUUGAGAGGCUUUGCUGCUUCAGCACUCCUGUAUUUGAUGACCUGGGAUUUGGUGUCGCUACAGCAGAAACAGCUUGUGGAACUAGUUUUAAAAUCUAUUUUUUAAUAUUGGCGGGAAGAUAUUUGGAAAAAAAGAGGAAGAUAAUUAUUUGUAAAAAAAGAUUCAGAGAAACCCUAUUUUGGUAUGUUUUUUUAUGUUUGGUAACAAUACUUUUUUUCCACAAGCAACGCUAAAGUUUCUAGCAGAAGCUGAUAAACUCGUAUGUGUUCUCCCUCUAACUUUUAGUUACUCUGUAUUAUGUUAACUAAAUUCAUAUUAUGCCAUAUUAAUUUAGUUUUUAGUUCAUGCCAUAAUAAUUAUUUUUAGUUUUAAGUUAUUUUCUAAUUAAGGCUCCAAAGAAAUAGGUAGCAUAUUAUUCACUAAUUAAGACAAAGAUUAAACUUAUUUAAUAUAAUAUUAAUGUGAUUAUCACUUACGAUUUCAAUUUUAUGUUAAUACUUAUUAGAAUUAAUGUUAACUCAAAUGACAUAAUUUUAUUUAGUUCCUUAUGACAAAAUAAAAAAGUUAAUUACUCUAUUUUUCUCCUAUAUUGUAGACUGGAUCAUUAUUUAAUAAACUAAUUAUAAAGUUCGUUAAUAAAACAUAUCACCAAGUGGA